ACGGGUGAGUAACGCGUGGGAACGUGCCUUUCGGUUCGGAAUAACUCAGGGAAACUUGAGCUAAUACCGGAUACGCCCUUCGGGGGAAAGAUUUAUUGCCGAAAGAUCGGCCCGCGUCCGAUUAGCUAGUUGGUGUGGUAAUGGCGCACCAAGGCGACGAUCGGUAGCUGGUCUGAGAGGAUGAUCAGCCACACUGGGACUGAGACACGGCCCAGACUCCUACGGGAGGCAGCAGUGGGGAAUAUUGGACAAUGGGCGCCAGCCUGAUCCAGCCAUGCCGCGUGAGUGAUGAAGGCCCUAGGGUUGUAAAGCUCUUUCGCCAGGGACGAUAAUGACGGUACCUGGAUAAGAAGCCCCGGCUAACUUCGUGCCAGCAGCCGCGGUAAUACGAAGGGGGCUAGCGUUGUUCGGAAUCACUGGGCGUAAAGCGCACGUAGGCGGAUCUUUAAGUCAGGGGUGAAAUCCCGAGGCUCAACCUCGGAACUGCCUUUGAUACUGGAGGUCUCGAGUUCGGGAGAGGUGAGUGGAACUGCGAGU
rnacentral:rRNA from 1 species